GACGAACGCUGGCGGCGUGCCUAAUACAUGCAAGUUGAGCGAUGAAGAUUGGUGCUUGCACCAAUUUGAAGAGCAGCGAACGGGUGAGUAACGCGUGGGGAAUCUGCCUUUGAGCGGGGGACAACAUUUGGAAACGAAUGCUAAUACCGCAUAACAACUUUAAACAUAAGUUUUAAGUUUGAAAGAUGCAAUUGCAUCACUCAAAGAUGAUCCCGCGUUGUAUUAGCUAGUUGGUGAGGUAAAGGCUCACCAAGGCGAUGAUACAUAGCCGACCUGAGAGGGUGGUCGGCCACAUUGGGACGGAGACACGGCCCAAACGCCUACAGGAGGGAGCAGUAGGGAAUCUUCGGCAAUGGACGGAAGUCUGACCGAGCAACGCCGCGGGAGUGAAGAAGGGUGUCGGAUCGUAAAACUCUGUUGGUAGAGAAGAACGUUGGUGAGAGUGGAAAGCUCAUCAAGUGACGGUAACUACCCAGAAAGGGACGGCUAACUACGUG
rnacentral:rRNA from 1 species